rnacentral:rRNA from 1 species
GUGGGGAAUAUUGGACAAUGGGCGAAAGCCUGAUCCAGCCAUGCCGCGUGUGUGAAGAAGGUCUUCGGAUUGUAAAGCACUUUAAGUUGGGAGGAAGGGUUGUACGUUAAUACCUUGCUGUUUUGACGUUACCGACAGAAUAAGCACCGGCUAACUUCGUGCCAGCAGCCGCGGUAAUACGAAGGGUGCAAGCGUUAAUCGGAAUUACUGGGCGUAAAGCGCGCGUAGGUGGUUUUGUAAGUUGGAGGUGAAAUCCCCGGGCUCAACCUGGGAACUGCCUCCAAAACUGCAUGACUAGAGUACGGUAGAGGGUAGUGGAAUUUCCUGUGUAGCGGUGAAAUGCGUAGAUAUAGGAAGGAACACCAGUGGCGAAGGCGACUACCUGGACUGAUACUGACACUGAGGUGCGAAAGCGUGGGGAGCAAACAGGAUUAGAAACCCUUGUAGUCC